rnacentral:rRNA from 1 species
UACGUAGGGUGCGAGCGUUGUCCGGAAUUAUUGGGCGUAAAGAGCUCGUAGGCGGUUUGUUGCGUCUAUCGUGAAAACCUGCAGCUUAACUGUGGGCUUGCGGUGGAUACGGGCAGACUUGAGUUCGGUAGGGGAGACUGGAAUUCCUGGUGUAGCGGUGAAAUGCGCAGAUAUCAGGAGGAACACCGGUGGCGAAGGCAGCCAUCUGGACCGACACUGACGCUGAGGCGCGAAAGCGUGGGGAGCAAACAGG